UAUUCUCAACCUUGAUAGCUUUUGUUAUUCAAGGCUUGGAUGUGAGGGUUUGCUGGCUUCCUUCAGUGGCGGUCUGCUCCCUUUAAAUGCAUUAGUGAGAUCUCUUGUGAAUCGGUUCACUUGGUGUGAUAAUUAUCUACGCCGCUUGACUGUGAAGCAAAAUUAUGGGAACUUGCUUACAACCGUCUUCGGACAACACUUUUAAU
rnacentral:misc_RNA from 1 species